GCCCACCAGGGGUGAGAGCCCAGGCUAGCAGGGCAGUCCUGCCCAGCCCCACUCAGCCUUCCCAAGAUGACCCCCGCUCAGCCACCAUCUCGAGGCACUCCUAGGAACCCCUGCCUGGCUCUGAGCAGCAACAGCAGAAUCUUCACGUCUCUGGCAGGCGGAGGACGGUUCCGGAAGUGGUGGAGAUGCUGUUGCCAGGGGACAAGGCUCACCAGUCCACCAGCUGGGCUCCUAUGAGGUCAUGGACGUGGUAGGCCAGGCCAAGGCGCACUGCAGCAGGCGCCCGCCGGCCCAGAAGCUCUGACAGGAGGACCUCCCGGUACUUGGCUUUACGGACCAUGCCAAGGACAGCCUGGCGCCCUGGGAAGUGGCACAGGAAAAGGGGAAAACUCCAGGCACCGCCAGCCACCAGCUCCCAACAUCUCGGACAGUGAGGACUCCAGCAUUCACCAAGUGUCUGCAGGCAGUGGGAAGCCGGGAGAUGUGGCCGGGCUCCAGAAGCCCCUCUCCUCCCCAUGUUUAUGUCUGAACACUGAGGCUCCAGAAACAGAGGUAACACCCUCAGCAAGAGGGACUGGGUGAGAAUUGCCCCCUCCACACACACGCACGCACGCAUGCACGCACGCUGCUUCCAUUGUCCCCACCUGGACUUCCCUCCCUCGUCUCUCCUUCCCCGAACAACCACUUGUUUAGCAGAGCAGCUUCCUCUCAGAGGUCCUCCCGACCCUGAGGAGUAGGAAUCUUCCUUGGGCCUGUGAGUCUCACCACAGCUUCUGCUGCACCUCAUGUUCCAGCAUGAACAUGAGGCUUUCCGGCCAGUCCCCACGUGCAUUCUGCGAGCCAGCGCUCCCGGCUUUGUGUAGUCCGGUGCUCUUUCCAAGGCCCCAGGCUGGAAGCACCGAAGCCAGAAACCUCUGCACAGCCCCAGCACACGGUCGGCCAUCACAGGCCUUGAGGACCUGGAACCAGAGAGGAGAGACAUGGUCCGGGCCUGCCCUCCCCUCCACCUGUCUCCACCCCCAGGACACCGACUCUCCUCCUGGUUUCCCCUCCUCGGUCCUUCCACCUCCCGGACCUUCCCUCCUCUCCCUCGUUUUACUAUUAACCAGAGCCCUGUGCCCUGUCUGUGAAUCCUGGGGUAGGAAAAUUAUUUCUUUUGAUUUAUUUCCAUUCUCCACCCCCCCACACACAUGCAAGCAUGGUCACACAUACUCUGGUCGUGUAGUCCUCAGUGAAGAUAAUCCCGUGGGCAUCCAAGUCGAAGCCCAGCUGGAUGACUCUGAUCUCUCCCUGUUCUUGAAGCUCCUUCUGCCUCCACACACAAGGGGAUGGAAAGGAGGAGUCUGUUAGAGUGAGAUGCUCUGCUAUCCCUGGGCACUCCGGGGCAGGAGCUCUCGUUUACUAGUACUGGGCAUUUUACUGUGUGAGGAGAUAACCAGGUAUAUCACAAAGCAAGCUUUCCCACUAGGUACCCACCCAACUUCCCAGCUAUCUGUCAAACAACCAGUGCGUGUUCUGUAAGACAGAUCUAUGCCAGGCACUAAGAUAAAGCAGUGAUUAUGACAUGGGCCCUGCCCUCAAGGAAUCAGUGGUCUAUUUUGAGUGGGGGAAGGUGGAGAGUGGCAUUAAACAAUAAAACAAAUAAAAACAAAGCAGGACUUCUGCUUAUGAGCAUAGA